rnacentral:rRNA from 1 species
CCUACGGGAGGCAGCAGUGGGGAAUAUUGCACAAUGGGCGCAAGCCUGAUGCAGCCAUGCCGCGUGUGUGAAGAAGGCCUUCGGGUUGUAAAGCACUUUCAGCGGGGAGGAAGGCGGUGAGGUUAAUAACCUCAUCGAUUGACGUUACCCGCAGAAGAAGCACCGGCUAACUCCGUGCCAGCAGCCGCGGUAAUACGGAGGGUGCAAGCGUUAAUCGGAAUUACUGGGCGUAAAGCGCACGCAGGCGGUCUGUCAAGUCGGAUGUGAAAUCCCCGGGCUCAACCUGGGAACUGCAUUCGAAACUGGCAGGCUAGAGUCUUGUAGAGGGGGGUAGAAUUCCAGGUGUAGCGGUGAAAUGCGUAGAGAUCUGGAGGAAUACCGGUGGCGAAGGCGGCCCCCUGGACAAAGACUGACGCACAGGUGCGAAAGCGUGGGGAGCAAACAGGAUUAGAUACCCUAGUAGUC